AACACCUCACUGCCUGCCAAAUUGCCAGAGCUAUUAGAGUGUGAUUAGAUUGCUUGGCUCUGAGCGUUAGCUAAUCCUAUGCAGCUGGGCUUGCUCUGGACCUGAGAUGGCUCUGGACAUCAGCUGCUUCCUUUUAGUGGCUCUCUUCUCAGCCAGCUGCCAAGCCAUCGGAUCCUCAGAUCAGAGGUGCACUGAGAAAGAAGUCAACAAAACAUACAACUGUGAACAUUUAGGUCUCAGUGAAAUUCCUGGCACUCUACCAAACUCAACAGAAUCUUUGGAGUUCAGCUUUAAUGCCUUGCCUACGAUUCAAAAGACGACUUUCAGCAGACUCGUAAAUCUCACCUUCCUGGAUUUAACCAGGU
rnacentral:lncRNA from 1 species